GCCUGGGUGGCGGAAUUGGUAGACGCAGGGGAUUCAAAAUCCCCCGGGGUAGCCCCUCGUAAGAGUUCGAGUCUCUUCCUAGGCACCA
rnacentral:tRNA from 2 species